ACACAUAAAUCUGAUACACAACUGUAGCCAGCAGAACACUGUCUCACAACUCAGAAUAACUAUUACAUUUGAAGAACAGAACAGGAACGCUAACAGAGAGUGCAUAGAGGCAUGCCCUAAUCUAAUUUUCCAUUAUAGUACAAUAACAAAUAUAAUAACUAAUUAUCAUAGAUAUAUAUCUAAAUGUUAAAUCUGAUGCUUGGUGAAAAUAAAUAUUAAUUCACACUGCUGGCCAAAUACAAAAAUUAGAGCUUAAAGAAGUGAUCCAGCGCUAUCCACCAUCUCCUUCAGGUGGUUAGACUGUGUGACUGCACUCCACUGCCAGUCAACCUGCCACCAUGGAUGUUUGAUACAUCCAUUCACUAGCAAGGACCACGCCAUCAACAAAAUGCGUUUAACAAGAUGCAUUUAUUCAUAAACAAUAAUGGAAAUGGUAGUGAUGUGUGAGAUGAAGAAGGAUUCUUGAGUCCAUGUUGCAUUGUGGAGUAGCUUUGGGGUGGGAAUCCGCCAAGGUUGGGCAUAUCUGAGAUCUGGGAGUAAUGAGCUCAUAGAUCCAUAUUAUCCCAAUAGAUCACUCUGUAAACUCAGGACUACUUGUGGUUCCUAUUGUCUAAAACUAGAAUGGGAGGCAGAGCUUUCAGCAGCCAGGCUCAUCUCCUCUGGAACCACCUCCCAGGAAGCAGACACCCUCUCUAAAUUUAAGUUCGCGGCAGAUGGCCCCACGACUGAGUCCAGUUCUACUAGAAAUUUCUUCCAGUUAAAACCGUUUUUACUCCACAGUCGCCAAGUGCUUGAUUACUGUGGCAACUGUUGGGUUUCUUGGUAAUAUUGUGAGGUCUCGACCUUACAAGUCACAUAUACUGAAACAGUUUAUGGAGUAAAUGUGUGGAAUGGUUUAGAAAUGGAAAUGAAAGUGUGUAAAACACAAUCGAUUUAAAAAAAUAUUUAAACACAAUAUGAUUAACAAAGAUAAAACCGAAGUAUGAUCA